rnacentral:rRNA from 1 species
GAUGAACGCUGGCGGCGUGCCUAACACAUGCAAGUCGAACGAAGCUUGACGAAUGAUUUUUUCGGAAUGAAUUCUGAUAUGACUUAGUGGCGGACGGGUGAGUAACACGUGAGCAACCUGCCUUUCAGUGGGGGAAUAACAGUUGGAAACAGCUGCUAAUACCGCAUAAUGCAACGGAUCGCAUGACUCUGUUAGCCAAAGAUUUAUCGCUCUGAGAUGGCCUCGCGUCUGAUUAGCUAGUUGGUGAGGUAACGGCCCACCAAGGCGACGAUCGGUAGCCGGACUGAGAGGUUGAACGGCCACAUUGGGACUGAGACACGGGCCCAG